CCUUCCUGCCACUACUAGUCAGUAGUACGCGGUGUCGUCUGAUUAUCAAGCAAGUGACCACCAGCUGUUGUUGUUCUUCAUUGUUUGUGUGUGUGUUAUAUAUAAGCACGCAUUAGCGCGGGAACGAACAAUGCAGCAUGCAUGCAUCUACCUAACCUACUAGUACUACUACCCCGAGGGUAUACCUGUCUCCGAAGAAGCAAGCAAGGCGACAGACACCACACCGCC
rnacentral:lncRNA from 7 species